UACGUAGGGAGCAAGCGUUGUCCGGAAUCAUUGGGCGUAAAGCGCGCGUAGGUGGCCUCAUAAGUCCGCUGUGAAAGUCAAAGGCUCAACCUUUGAAAGCCGGUGGAUACUGUGAGGCUAGAGUACGGAAGAGGCGAGUGGAAUUCCUGGUGUAGCGGUGGAAUGCGCAGAUAUCAGGAGGAACACCGGUGGCGAAGGCGGGUCUCUGGGCCGAAACUGACGCUGAGGAGCGAAAGCGUGGGGAGCAAACAGG
rnacentral:rRNA from 1 species